rnacentral:misc_RNA from 1 species
UCCGAGUUGACCCCGGCAGUCUUCUAUGAGUCCCCGGCAUUAUCCGCUGGCAACAUAGAACGAGGGUUGCGCUCGUUGCGGGACUUAACCCAACAUCUCACGACACGAGCUGACGACAACCAUGCACCACCUGUGCAGGGCCCUUGCGGACCCGACGUUUCUGCCGGAUUUCCCUGCAUGUCAAGCCUUGGUAAGGUUCUUCGCGUUGCGUCGAAUUAAGCCACAUGCUCCGCCGCUUGUGCGGGCCCCCGUCAAUUCCUUUGAGUUUUAGCCUUGCGGCCGUACUCCCCAGGCGGGGUGCUUAAUGCGUUAGCUUCGGCACGGACGGAGUCGACACCGCCCACACCUAGCACCCAUCGUUUACGGCGUGGACUAC